rnacentral:rRNA from 1 species
UGGGGAAUUUUGGACAAUGGGCGAAAGCCUGAUCCAGCAAUGCCGCGUGUGUGAAGAAGGCCUUCGGGUUGUAAAGCACUUUUGUCCGGAAAGAAAUCCUUGGCUCUAAUACAGUCGGGGGAUGACGGUACCGGAAGAAUAAGCACCGGCUAACUACGUGCCAGCAGCCGCGGUAAUACGUAGGGUGCAAGCGUUAAUCGGAAUUACUGGGCGUAAAGCGUGCGCAGGCGGUUUGCUAAGACCGAUGUGAAAUCCCCGGGCUCAACCUGGGAACUGCAUUGGUGACUGGCAGGCUAGAGUAUGGCAGAGGGGGGUAGAAUUCCACGUGUAGCAGUGAAAUGCGUAGAGAUGUGGAGGAAUACCGAUGGCGAAGGCAGCCCCCUGGGCCAAUACUGACGCUCAUGCACGAAAGCGUGGGGAGCAAACAGGAUUAGAUACCCGGGUAGUCCACGCCCUAAAACGAUGUCAACUAGUUGUUGGGGAUUCAUUUCUUAGUAACGUAGCUAACGCGUGAAGUUGACCGCCUGGGGAGUACGGUCGCAAGAUUAAAACUCAAAUGAAUUGACGGGGUCAUAGCUGUUUCCU